ACCUUCUACCAUGCUCUACUUGGAUCAGACCGUUGAGAGAGCUUGAGGAGCGCAUCUGACAGGCUGUGCCAGGCUGUGACAGACUGUCAGCAUCCUAGUCAAAGAUCCAAGAUGCUUCACACGCGGGAAGAAGCUCAUUGGAUGCUUUAUGAUAUGCGCUCCUCUCUUGGUUGACUACACAUGCUUUAGCUUAUCUUUAAACCUUGAAAACCCUAAGCUCUCAUACUAUAUAAGUUGUAACCUCAUCAGAUUAAUGAUUAACGAGAUGGAAGCACUCUUUCUCUACUUUCUCUCUAGUUUGAAUCUCAAAGUCUCUUAAUCACUCUCAAACUAUGAUACUCGUUUAAAUCUUUCACUAAACUCCUCUUUAAUCUUUCUUAAUCUCUCAAUACCUUCUUAAAUCUCUAAGAUCUCAUGGUAUCAGAGCCAGGUUGGCUUUGGUAUUGAGAGAUCUUAGUCCUUUCGUGUGAUUCUUACUUAUCCCGUCUUGUGUUCUUGCGUUUGUUCUUGAGACUUUCGGGAAGUCUUGUCAUUGUGUUGAAGUAUUUUACUCUUGGUUCUUUGGUUCCGUGUGUUCUUGAAGAUCUGGUGUGGUAGAAGCUCAACUGAAGUACAAGAUUGAAGACUAGAAGUCACUAGAGGCAAAGGGAAGAUGGAAGGAAACUACAGUAAGCUUGUUACGGUUCCGGUUGCCUUAAAAGGUGUAGGAAACUACUUGUUGUGGUCUCGGCUAGUGAAGACUGCUAUUGGGAGGCUAGGGUUAUGGAAUCACAUCACGGAUGAUGGUCCAGAGCCAGUGGCCAAAGGAAAUGAGGAAGUUGAAGGUGGAAAAGUACUCACUGAAGCUGAAGUGAAGAAGAAAUGGGUUCAAGAAGAUCUGAUGGUGCUGUCGGUACUACACGGUUCUAUUGAAGUCCCUUUGCUUGAAGCCUACAGCUUCUGUGAGACACCUAAGCACCUAUGGGAGACGCUCCAGAAGACAUUUGGAAAUGUCUUAAACCUUAGCCGUGUGUUUGAGUUGAAGAAAGCCAUCACCUCCUUGACGCAAGAUGGUGUGGAGCUUACUUAACACAUUGAGAAGUUCAGAGCUCUUUGGUCUGAGCUGGAUAACCUGCGUCCAAGCACCAAUGAUCAAGAGAUCAUCAUGGAGAGGAGAGAGCAGGAUCAGGUGUUUGGGUUGAUGAUGACCUUAGACGUGUGCUACAAGGAUGUCAUCAAGCACAUGCUGAGAUCGCCAAGCCUACCAACAAUGGAGGAGGUGUGCUCUCAACUGCAGAAGGAGGAAGGCUCUCUAGGCUUGUUUGGAGGAAAGGGGGAGCUAUCUAUGGCUCAUCAGGCUGAAGUAUGGUGACCGCUUUGAAGGGAAUUGUGAUCAUUGCAAAAAGCCAGGUCAUAAGAAGAGCCAAUGCUGGAUACUUCACCCUCACCUCAAGCCAAGCAAAUUCAACAAGGAGAGAGAAGCCAGAGCUCACAUGUCCACCGAGGCAAGCAGUGGCAGUGCAUCCGGAGCUGGUACAUCCUCACAAGUGAAUGAGAGUGAAGGGCGAGCUCUCUCUUCUCACCACUCAGGAGGGAAGAACCUAGAGCAUGAGGUGAUCAGGAAGUCAGACAUAGAUGCACUCAUCAAAGCACUUAAGGAGUCUGGUAACAAACUAAGACACAAUACUCUUGGCUAUUCUUUUGCUACUCAUACUAUGCCUAGUAGAACUGAUAGGUUACUAAACAUAUUAGAGAGUCCCUUGAUUGGUAAAACUGAACAUAGCAUUGCUAAUAAACUCUUAGGAGUGCUUGAGAACUUAAAGAAUAACAAUGAUCAUCCUAGGAGUCAUCUAGCUAAGGACAUACAUAAACCUUUGAUUAUUGAUUCUGGUGCAUCUCAUCACAUGAUUAGUGAUAACAAGUUAAUUACGGAUAUAGAACCUACCCAAGGUCAUGUCAUGAUUGCUAAUGGUGAUAGAAUUCCUAUUAGAGGCAUUGGUAGGUUGAAACUGUUUAAUAAAGAUUCUAAAGCAUUGUACAUGCCUGAAUUUACUUCAAACUUGUUAUCUGUCAAGAGAUGCACUACGGAUCUUAAUUGCAAUGUUAUUUUUAGUCCUAAUGAUGUGAAGUUUCAGGAUAUUAAGAGCAGUAAGUUGAUUGGCCAAGGAGCAACUAAGGGAGACCUUUACAUGCUUGGAGAUCUCUCUCCUAUCUCUAGUUCUUGUUUUUCGUUUAGCUCGGUUUCUUUAAGUAAGGAUGCUUUGUGGCAUGCUAGGCUAGGACAUCCACAUGUUAGGGCCUUAAGCAUAAUGUUACCAGGUGUCAUGUUUAAAAAUAAUGAUUGUGAAGCUUGUAUUUUGGGAAAACAUUGUAAGAGUGUGUUUCAAAGAUCAGUUACAGUUUAUGAGAAUUGUUUUGACUUAAUCCACUCUGAUGUUUGGACUGCACCUUAUUUAUCUAGGGAUAAUUACAAGUAUUAUGUCACCUUCAUUGAUGAAACAUCUAAAUACACCUGGUUAACACUCAUUAAAACAAAGGAUAGAGUUCUUGAUGCAUUUAAAAACUUUCAAAACUAUGUUACUAACCACUAUAAUGCCAAGAUUAAGAUUUUCAGGUCAGAUAAUGGUGGGGAGUAUACAAGUCAUGCAUUCAAAGAACAUUUAGCUAGCCAUGGAAUCCUUCAUCAGACGAGCUGUCCUUAUACACCCCAGCAAAAUGGAGUGGCUGAAAGGAAGAAUAGACAUCUCAUGGAGGUGGCUAGAUCAAUGAUGUUCUAUACAAGUGUGCCUAAAAGGCAUUGGAGUGAUGCAGUGAUGACCGCAAGCUACCUAAUCAACAGGACACCAACCAAGAUUCUCAAUGAUCAGUCCCCCUUUGAGGUUCUUAACAAGAGUAAGCCAGUGCUGGAACACUUGAGGAUCUUUGGGUGUGUGUGUUAUGUGCUUGUACCCGGGGAAAUGCGGAACAAGCUAGAAGAAAAGAGUACCAAGGCUAUGCUGAUUGGAUACUCUACAUCCCAAAAGGGAUAAAAAUGCUUUGAUCCAGAUACCAGAAGAGUAUUGGUAUCAAGGGAGGUGAAGUUCUUUGAAGAUAAGGGAUAUUAUGAUGGGAAGAAUUAGGAAAAACUUGAAGAUCUAUCCAAACCAUCAGACAGGGCCGCAAGCUUGAGAAACAUCUUGCAAGGACUUGGCAUUGGAGUGUCACCAGAUCAACACAAACGCCAAGAAACACCACCUGUUAGAGUUGAAGAAUCAUCUCACUUAGAACAUGAAGGGGGAAGUGAAUCUGCUGAUACUGAAGUUCAAGGAACAAGUGAAGCCGAAGAUCAACAACAAAGCGCAGACUCUCAUGUUCAAAGUGAAGAUGACUCAAGGGGAAGUGAUAAACAUAGAAGUCAGGAAGCUAGUGAAGAAAGUCAGAUACCAGAAGAAGCCGUGGAAGAGAAUGUAGUAGUUCCAUUGAGGAGAAGCACACGGUUAAAGAGAGAUGCUUCCAACUGGGUAAACAUAAGAGUGUACUACAAUGCCCAAGCUGUGGAGCAUCCCUCUCAAGCUGUGUGCUCAUUUGCGUGCUAUCCAGAAGAGCAUUGCGCAUUUAUGAUCAGCUUAGAUGGAAGCUAUGUGCCUAGAUCAUAUGAAGAUGCAAUGUUACAUGAAGACUGGAAGGAAUCAGUAGGUGAUGAAGCUAAUGCCAUGAUAAAGAAUGAUAUUUGGUUUGAAAUUGAACUGCCGAAAGGACAGAAGGCAGUAACUAACAAGUGGAUAUUCACUAUCAAGUACAAGCCUGAUGGGAUUAUUGAGAGGAAGAAGACAAGACUGGUGGCUAGAGGAUACACUCAAACAUAUGGGGAAGACUACACUGACACCUUUGCUCCUGUUGCUAAGCUCCGUACAAUAAGAAUUGUAUUAUCUGUGGCUGAGAAUCUUGAGUGGGAGCUUUGGCAGAUGGAUGUGAAGAAUGGCUUUCUUCAAGGAGAGCUAGAAGAUGAAGUGUAUAUGCAUCCACCACCAGGCCUAGGGCAUCUUGUGAAACCCGGAAAUGUGUUGAGACUCAAGAAAGCUAUCUAUGGGUUGAAACAAUCUCCUAGAGCAUGGUACAACAAGCUCAGCACUACUUUAAAUGGGCGUGGAUUCAAGAAGUCAGAAUUGGAUCAUACUCUCUUCACACUUACUUCACCCUCAGGUAUCAUUUGUCUACUUGUGUAUGUUGAUGAUAUCAUUAUAACAUGUAGUGAUAAGGCUGGUAUAAAAGCCACCAAGGAGUUUUUAAAAUCUGUAUUUGAAAUUAAAGACUUAGGAGAAAUGAAAUACUUCCUUGGAAUUGAGUUGUGUAGAUCUAAGGAAGGAUUGUUCAUUUCCCAAAGGAAGUAUACACUUGAUCUUUUGAAAAAUGCAGGUAUACAAGGAGAUAAGACAGCAAGGAUGCCUCUUGAAGAUGGAUACAAGGUUCCACGUGAGGGGGAGGUUGAAGAUAGCAAGGUCUUUCAUGAUCCAAAGCUAUACAGGAAUCUAGUAGGGAAGCUCAUCUAUCUUACUGUCACACGUCCGAAUAUAUGCUUUGCUGUGAAUCAAGUGAGCCAGCAUAUGCAAGUCCCAAAGGAGCAUCAUUGGCGAAUGGUGGAGAGACUCCUCUUGUAUCUGAACGGUACAUCAGGCCUUGGAGUUUGGAUGGGAUGCAACAAGAGUACUGAAGUGGUGGGCUAUUGUGAUGCUGAUUGGGCAGGAGAUAGAGCAGACAGAAGAUCAACUACCGGCUAUUGUACAUUCAUUGGAGGAAGUCUUGUGACAUGGAAGAGCAAGAAGCAUAAAGUAGUAUCUUUUUCAAGUGCUGAAGCUGAGUAUAGGGCAAUGCUGAAGCUGCCAAAUGAGUUGGUGUGGAUAAAAGGGAUCUUGAAACAUUUUGAGAUAGAGCAAGCUACACCAAUGACUAUGCAUUGCGACAACCAAGCAGCUAUACACAUUGCAACCAACUCAGUGUUCCAUGAGAGAACCAAGCACAUUGAAGUAGACUGCCACAAGGUAAGGCAGAAGAUCGUUUUGGGAGUAAUCUUGCCAUGCUAUACAAGGAGUGAGGAUCAGUUAGCGGAUGUAUUCACCAAGGCAGCAAGACAAAAGACAAUGGAGUCCAAACACAUCAGGUUAGGACUCAUUGAUCUUUCACCCAUAGAAUAGUCCCCUGAUCAUGAGGUCUUUACUCUUUUUCCCUUAUCAAAGUUUUGUCCCAAAUGGGUUUUGUUUGGUAAGGUUUUUAAUGAGGAAGAUCUCAUGGUCCUUCCAAGCUUAACUUGUUCCACAUGGUUAAGCUUGAGGGGGAGUGUUGAAAUGAGGUGAUGCAACUAUGUGAUAUGAAGCUAGAGAAGGUUAGAGACUUGAGGAUUAAGUUAAGGAUGUGAGUGUACGGACAAGCCGUACAAUGUGGCCGUACAAGGUAAAGAAGAAGUUACCAUGAUCGUUUAACCGAGAAGGGAGUAAACGGAUCAGUCUUACCUUCUACCAUGCUCUACUUGGAUCAGACCGUUGAGAGAGCUUGAGGAGCGCAUCUGACAGGCUGUGCCAGGCUGUGCCAGGCUGUGACAGACUGUCAGCAUCCUAGUCAAAGAUCCAAGAUGCUUCACACGCGGGAAGAAGCUCAUUGGAUGCUUUAUGAUAUGCGCUCCUCUCUUGGUUGACUACACAUGCUUUAGCUUAUCUUUAAACCUUGAAAACCCUAAGCUCUCAUACUAUAUAAGUUGUAACCUCAUCAGAUUAAUGAUUAACGAGAUUGAAUCACUCUUUCUCUACUCUCUCUCUAGUUUGAAUCUCAAAGUCUCUUAAUCACUCUCAAACUAUGAUACUCGUUUAAAUCUUUCACUAA
rnacentral:lncRNA from 1 species